UCGAUUUGGAGUUUGUUGCCUUGAGUGAUGGGCUCCGAAGCUAACGCGAUAAAUCGACCGCCUGGGGAGUACGGCCGCAAGGUUAAAACUCAAAUGAAUUGACGGGGGCCCGCACAAGCGGUGGAGCAUGUGGUUUAAUUCGAUGCAACGCGAAGAACCUUACCUGGUCUUGACAUCCACAGAAUCUUGCAGAGAUGCGAGAGUGCCUUCGGGAACUGUGAGACAGGUGCUGCAUGGCUGUCGUCAGCUCGUGUUGUGAAAUGUUGGGUUAAGUCCCGCAACGAGCGCAACCCUUAUCCUUUGUUGCCAGCGAUUCGGUCGGGAACUCAAAGGAGACUGCCGUUGAUAAAGCGGAGGAAGGUGGGGACGACGUCAAGUCAUCAUGGCCCUUACGACCAGGGCUACACACGUGCUACAAUGGCGUAUACAAAGGGAGGCGACCUCGCGAGAGCAAGCGGACCUCACAAAGUACGUCUAAGUCCGGAUUGGAGUCUGCAACUCGACUCCAUGAAGUCGGAAUCGCUAGUAAUCGUGAAUCAGAAUGUCACGGUGAAUACGUUCCCGGGCCU
rnacentral:rRNA from 1 species